CCCUGUGGCAUAUCCCAGCCACUAGAACUUGCAGGUUGGUUUAAGUCAUUAAGGGUGCCCCAACCCUGUGAACAUUCGGGUGACUUUUGCUGGUCCCAUGAAUUAUUAAUUGUAGGUGACUUUUCUUGGUCCCAAGAACUAUUUGCUGGUGGCUUUUGUUGAUCCCAAGAAUUAUUUGCCGUAGAUGAUUUUUGCCGAUCCCAAGAACUAUUUGUUGCAGGUGACUUUUGUUGGUCCCAAGCAUUAUUCAUUGUCUGUGCCUUUUGUUGGUCCCAAUUACUAUUCUUACUACAGCCUUUUGUAGGUGACUCAUCUGAGCCUGCAGCAGAUGAGGAAACCCAACCAGACAUUGACUGAACUGGCUUUUC
rnacentral:lncRNA from 1 species